ACGGGAGGCAGCAGUGGGGAAUAUUGCACAAUGGGGGAAACCCUGAUGCAGCGACGCCGCGUGAGCGAAGAAGUAUUUCGGUAUGUAAAGCUCUAUCAGCAGGGAAGAAAAUGACGGUACCUGACUAAGAAGCCCCGGCUAACUACGUGCCAGCAGCCGCGGUAAUACGUAGGGGGCAAGCGUUAUCCGGAUUUACUGGGUGUAAAGGGAGCGUAGACGGCAAGGUAAGUCUGAAGUGAAAUCCCGGGGCUCAACCCCGGAACUGCAUUUGAAACUGUAGCCCUUGAGUAUCGGAGAGGCAAGCGGAAUUCCUAGUGUAGCGGUGAAAUGCGUAGAUAUUAGGAGGAACACCAGUGGCGAAGGCGGCUUGCUGGACGACAACUGACGCUGAGGCGCGAAAGCGUGGGGAGCAAACAGGAUUAGAUACCCUGGUA
rnacentral:rRNA from 1 species